rnacentral:lncRNA from 1 species
UUUUCCGAAUCGCCAAGUGAAAAGGUAUUCCAAAUUCGUUACGGAAUUGCGGUGGCGAUCUACAUUUUCAGCAUUGAAAUUUUAAUGGUAAUUUGUCAUAGAAUUUCCACUUGGCCAAAUAAUCGAUCACGUGGACUGAAACUGCUUUCCAUUUUGCCGAAAUGUCGUCCGUUGUUAGCUGUACCAUAGACUACGGCUGUACCUGUUCGGAUGUAGUCUCAUCUCACGCAGAAACUCUACAGAGUUGGUGUUCAGGUUGGAUAUCCUGUUGCAGAACGUGAGAACUCAACAAAGUCUGAGCUCCAUGGCUGGCAUCAUGGCCACAGUGGUUUCGUUGCAGCCAGAUGGUGAAAGGUGUGAUCUUGUCAAGUUGAGCUGCAGCAUCCUGCAUGCAGUUUAUCGAGCUGGUGCUAUCCUGAAGUGUCAUUGCAGGAAGACUUUUUGAAAUGGACUUGGUGAUACUUAAACUAUGCCUGUGCUGUUCAAUGUGCAGUGGUUUUGCAGCCUGUUUCCAGUUGAGAGAUGUGAUUAUGCAGCUGAUACAGGAUUGAA